rnacentral:rRNA from 1 species
AGGGAAUCUUCGGCAAUGGACGGAAGUCUGACCGAGCAACGCCGCGUGAGUGAAGAAGGUUUUCGGAUCGUAAAGCUCUGUUGUAAGAGAAGAACGAGUGUGAGAGUGGAAAAUUCACACUGUGACGGUAUCUUACCAGAAAGGGACGGCUAACUACGUGCCAGCAGCCGCGGUAAUACGUAGGUGGCAAGCGUUGUCCGGAUUUAUUGGGCGUAAAGCGAGCGCAGGCGGUUCCUUAAGUCUGAUGUGAAAGCCCCCGGCUCAACCGGGGAGGGUCAUUGGAAACUGGGGAACUUGAGUGCAGAAGAGGAGAGUGGAAUUCCAUGUGUAGCGGUGAAAUGCGUAGAUAUAUGGAGGAACACCAGUGGCGAAGGCGACUCUCUGGUCUGUAACUGACGCUGAGGCUCGAAAGCGUGGGUAGCAAACAGGAUUAGAUACCCUGGUAGUCCACGCCGUAAACGAUGAGUGCUAAGUGUUGGAGGGUUUCCGCCCUUCAGUGCUGCAGUUAACGCAUUAAGCACUCCGCCUGGGGAGUACGACCGCAAGGUUG